rnacentral:rRNA from 1 species
UACGUAGGGUGCAAGCGUUGUCCGGAAUUAUUGGGCGUAAAGAGCUCGUAGGCGGUUUGUCGCGUCUGCUGUGAAAACGCGAGGCUCAACCUCGCGCCUGCAGUGGGUACGGGCAGACUAGAGUGCGGUAGGGGAGAUUGGAAUUCCUGGUGUAGCGGUGGAAUGUCGCAGAUAUCAGGAGGAACACCGAUGGCGAAGGCAGAUCUCUGGGCCGAUACUGACGCUGAGGAGCGAAAGCGUGGGGAGCGAACAGG